AUCUGCCUGGUAGUGGGGGAUAACGUUCGGAAACGGACGCUAAUACCGCAUACGUCCUACGGGAGAAAGCAGGGGACCUUCGGGCCUUGCGCUAUCAGAUGAGCCUAGGUCGGAUUAGCUAGUUGGUGAGGUAAUGGCUCACCAAGGCGACGAUCCGUAACUGGUCUGAGAGGAUGAUCAGUCACACUGGAACUGAGACACGGUCCAGACUCCUACGGGAGGCAGCAGUGGGGAAUAUUGGACAAUGGGCGAAAGCCUGAUCCAGCCAUGCCGCGUGUGUGAAGAAGGUCUUCGGAUUGUAAAGCACUUUAAGUUGGGAGGAAGGGCAGUUACCUAAUACGUGAUUGUUUUGACGUUACCGACAGAAUAAGCACCGGCUAACUCUGUGCCAGCAGCCGCGGUAAUACAGAGGGUGCAGCGUUAAUCGGAAUUACUGGGCGUAAAGCGCGCGUAGGUGGUUAGUUAAGUUGGAUGUGAAAUCCCCGGGCUCAACCUGGGAACUGCAUUCAAAACUGACUGACUAGAGUAUGGUAGAGGGUGGUGGAAUUUCCUGUGUAGCGGUGAAAUGCGUAGAUAUAGGAAGGAACACCAGUGGCGAAGGCGACCACCUGGACUGAUAC
rnacentral:rRNA from 1 species